AUGGGCGCAAGCCUGAUGCAGCCAUGCCGCGUGUGUGAAGAAGGCCUUCGGGUUGUAAAGCACUUUCAGUCGUGAGGAAGGUGGUGUAGUUAAUAGCUGCAUUAUUUGACGUUAGCGACAGAAGAAGCACCGGCUAACUCCGUGCCAGCAGCCGCGGUAAUACGGAGGGUGCGAGCGUUAAUCGGAAUUACUGGGCGUAAAGCGCAUGCAGGUGGUUUGUUAAGUCAGAUGUGAAAGCCCGGGGCUCAACCUCGGAAUAGCAUUUGAAACUGGCAGACUAGAGUACUGUAGAGGGGGGUAGAAUUUCAGGUGUAGCGGUGAAAUGCGUAGAGAUCUGAAGGAAUACCGGUGGCGAAGGCGGCCCCCUGGACAGAUACUGACACUCAGAUGCGAAAGCGUGGGGAGCAAACAGGAUUAGAUACCCUGGUAGUCCACGCCGUAAACGAUGUCUACUUGGAGGUUGUGGCCUUGAGCCGUGGCUUUCGGAGCUAACGCGUUAAGUAGACCGCCUGGG
rnacentral:rRNA from 1 species